rnacentral:rRNA from 1 species
UACGAAGGGGGCUAGCGUUGCUCGGAAUCACUGGGCGUAAAGAGCUCGUAGGCGGUCUGUCGCGUCUGCUGUGAAAACUCAGGGCUUAACCCUGAGCUUGCAGUGGGUACGGGCAGACUAGAGUGCGGUAGGGGAGACUGGAAUUCCUGGUGUAGCGGUGAAAUGCGCAGAUAUCGGGAGGAACACCAAUGGCGAAGGCAGCUUGCUGGGACGGUACUGACGCUGAGGCGCGAAAGCGUGGGGAGCAAACAGG